GCAACACAUGCCUCUAUCACUGUCUGAAGAUCUUUAUGUUGGGGAAAAAAAAAAAAAAUCAAAACUGGAUAACCUGGGUUAUGAAGUUAAAAUAGUCAGGCCUUCAAGCCUGCAACCUACCUACACCCUCAGCACUCUUUUGCAUUAGACUUGCUCCCUGGAAGAAGGUUUCAUCAGCUUCCAAAGUCCUGUGAUGAUAUACAGAGUCCUUGAAGAUACUUCUAAUGAUGUCUGUAUUAAAGGGAACAAGCACUGGUCUGACAUCAGUAGGGAAGUUUCUACAUGACCUGUUAUUGUGCUCCC